rnacentral:rRNA from 1 species
UACGAAGGGGGCUAGCGUUGCUCGGAAUCACUGGGCGUAAAGGGUGCGUAGGCGGGUCUUUAAGUCAGGGGUGAAAUCCUGGAGCUCAACUCCAGAACUGCCUUUGAUACUGAGGAUCUUGAGUACGGGAGAGGUGAGUGGAGCUGCGAGUGUAGAGGUGAAAUUCGUAGAUAUUCGCAAGAACACCAGUGGCGAAGGCGGCUCACUGGCCCGUUACUGACGCUGAGGCACGAAAGCGUGGGGAGCAAACAGG